UGACUACUUGACCAACAAAAACACAGUUCAUUGGGAUGGAGAGCUGUAGGUCCACCACAAAGACCAGCAGUGGAGGAUAGGAGUACAGAAAACCUGUGGAGGACUUUGUAGCAUGGUGCAGAAAGAACGAACUCCAGCUCAACAUUACAAAAAACAAAGGAGAUGGUACUGGACUUUCCCAUUACCAUAGGAGGUAAUGAUGUAAAAGUGGUCAACAUAUACAAAUACCUAGGUGUACAUCUGGACAAUAGAUUGAAUUGACAGACAAAUAUAAGCAUGAUAUAAAGAAAAGGACAUAACCUAAUCUAUUUUGUAAGGAGAUUCGCCUCUUUUCAUGUGCUCCAAGCAGCUUUAUAUAUUUUAGCAGUCAAUUGUGUGGUAUGUGUAUUACGUAGUGGUCUGUUGGAGUGGGGGGAGGGGAGGGGAGAAGGGACAUGCAGAGUUUGGACCGGCCAAUCAGGAGAGCUUGCUCUGUGGUUGGGAUGAGACUGGAUUCUGUUGAAACAAAGGUGAAAAAGAGGACACUUAAAGUUCAGAGCAGUUCUGGACAAUACCAGCCAUCCCUUGUACACUCUUAGGGUCAGAUUCCUGUCAGUGGGCGGUCCCACAGAGAGGCUCAGGAACUCCUUCAUACCACCGGCUAACAGGCUCUAUAAUGCUGCUAUUGGUGGGAGUGGGAUAUGUGGGAAACAGGGCAAUAAAUGUCUUGGUUGUUCUCCUUUGGUAACUUGUAUAUUUAUAUUGUGCCUUUUAUUAAAGGCAGUGUUGUGAUCAAGACCACCUAACCCAAGACCAAGACAAGACCAAGACCAGAUCAAGGCCAAGACCGAGUCAAGACCAAGACCAGCGCCCCGCGCUACAUGAUACAAUAACAUGUGAAAUAUGAUCAAAAUUAAUUCUCAAAUUGAUCUGAAAGAUCCAUAUUCACAUAAAAAUACCUAGAUA